UACACGACCGUACCGCAAACCGACACUGGUGCGCGAGAUGAGUAUUCUAAGGCGCUUGAGAGAACUCAGGAGAAGGAACUCGGCAAAUUGACACCGUAACUUCGGAAGAAGGUGUGCCUUUAGUAGGUGAAGUCCCUCGCGGAUGGAGCCCAAUGAGGUUGCAAAAAAUCGGUGGCUGCGACUGUUUAUUAAAAACACAGCACUCUGCAAACACGAAAGUGGGCGUAUAGGGUGUGACGCCUGCCCGGUGCUGGAAGAUUAAAUGAUGGGGUGCAAGCUCUUGAUUGAAGUCCCAGUAAACGGCGGCCGUAACUAUAACGGUCCUAAGGUAGCGAAAUUCCUUGUCGGGUAAGUUCCGACCUGCACGAAUGGCGUAACGAUGGCCACACUGUCUCCUCCUGAGACUCAGCGAAGUUGAAAUGUUUGUGAUGAUGCAAUCUCCCCGCGGAAAGACGGAAAGACCCCAUGAACCUUUACUGUAGCUUUGUAUUGGACUUUGAACAGAUCUGUGUAGGAUAGGUGGGAGGCUUUGAAGCAGGGUCGCUAGAUCUUGUGGAGCCAACGUUGAAAUACCACCCUGGUGUGUUUGAGGUUCUAACCUAGGCCCGUAAUCCGGGUUGGGGACAGUGCAUGGUAGGCAGUUUGACUGGGGCGGUCUCCUCCCAAAGUGUAACGGAGGAGUUCGAAGGUACGCUAGUUACGGUCGGACAUCGUGACGAUAGUGCAAUGGCAUAAGCGUGCUUAACUGCGAGACUGACAAGUCGAGCAGAUGCGAAAGCAGGACAUAGUGAUCCGGUGGUUCUGUAUGGAAGGGCCAUCGCUCAACGGAUAAAAGGUACUCUGGGGAUAACAGGCUGAUACCGCCCAAGAGUUCAUAUCGACGGCGGUGUUUGGCACCUCGAUGUCGGCUCAUCUCAUCCUGGGGCUGUAGCCGGUCCCAAGGGUAUGGCUGUUCGCCAUUUAAAGAGGUACGUGAGCUGGGUUUAAAACGUCGUGAGACAGUUUGGUCCCUAUCUUCCGUGGGCGCUGCAGAUUUGAGGAAGCCUGCUCCUAGUACGAGAGGACCGGAGUGGACGCACCUCUGGUGUAUCGGUUGUCACGCCAGUGGCAUUGCCGAGUAGCUAUGUGCGGAAGAGAUAACCGCUGAAAGCAUCUAAGCGGGAAACUCGUUUCAAGAUGAGAUCUGCCGGGGCCUUGAGCCCCCUGAAGAGUCGUUCAAGACCAGGACGUUGAUAGGUCGGGUGUGGAAGCGCAGUAAUGCGUUAAGCUAACCGAUACUAAUUGCUCGUGCGGCUUGAUC
rnacentral:rRNA from 1 species